CCUACGGGAGGCAGCAGUGGGGAAUAUUGGGCAAUGGAGGCAACUCUGACCCAGCAACGCCGCGUGAAUGAUGAAGGUCUUCGGAUUGUAAAGCUCUGUGAUGGGGGAUGAAAACAAUGACGGUUCUCCAAUAUCAAGCCACGGCUAACUAAGUGCCAGCAGCCGCGGUAAUCCGUCGGUGGCAAGCGUUAUGCGGCAUGACUGGGGGUAAAGGGUGCGUAGGUGGUUUAGUAAGUUGGCGGUGUAAGUCCGGGGCUCAACCGCAGCGCUGCCACCUAUACUAUUAGACUAGAGUGCAGGAGGGGUAAGUGGAAUUCCUAGUGGAGCGGUGGAAUGCGUAGAUAUGAGGAGGAACACCAGGGGCGAAGGCGACUUACUGGACUGUAACUGACACUGAGGCACGAAAGCGUGGGUAUCGAACAGGAUUAGAUACCCCAGUAGUC
rnacentral:rRNA from 1 species